rnacentral:rRNA from 1 species
ACACGGCCCAGACUCCUACGGGAGGCAGCAGUGGGGGAUAUUGCACAAUGGGCGAAAGCCUGAUGCAGCGACGCCGCGUGAGGGAUGACGGCCUUCGGGUUGUAAACCUCUUUCAGUAGGGAAGAAGCGAAAGUGACGGUACCUGCAGAAGAAGCACCGGCUAACUACGUGCCAGCAGCCGCGGUAAUACGUAGGGUGCGAGCGUUAUCCGGAAUUAUUGGGCGUAAAGAGCUCGUAGGCGGUUUGUCGCGUCUGUCGUGAAAGUCCGGGGCUUAACCCUGGAUCUGCGGUGGGUACGGGCAGACUAGAGUGCAGUAGGGGAGACUGGAAUUCCUGGUGUAGCGGUGGAAUGCGCAGAUAUCAGGAGGAACACCGAUGGCGAAGGCAGGUCUCUGGGCUGUAACUGACGCUGAGGAGCGAAAGCAUGGGGAGCGAACAGGAUUAGAUACCCUGGUAGUCCAUGCCGUAAACGUUGGGCACUAGGUGUGGGGUACUCAUUCCACGGUUUCCGCGCCGCAGCUAACGCAUUAAGUGUCCCU